UGGGGAAUAUUGCACAAUGGGGGAAACCCUGAUGCAGCAACGCCGCGUGAGUGAUGACGGUCUUCGGAUUGUAAAACUCUGUCUUUGGGGACGAUAAUGACGGUACCCAAGGAGGAAGCCACGGCUAACUACGUGCCAGCAGCCGCGGUAAUACGCAGGUGGCAAGCGUUGUCCGGAGUUACUGGGCGUAAAGGGAGCGUAGGUGGAUAUUUAAGUGGGAUGUGAAAUACUCGGGCUUAACCUGAGUGCUGCAUUACAAACUGGAUAUCUAGAGUGCAGGAGAGGAAAGUAGAAUUCCUAGUGUAGCGGUGAAAUGCGUAGAGAUUAGGAAGAAUACCAGUGGCGAAGGCGACUUUCUGGACUGUAACUGACACUGAGGCUCGAAAGCGUGGGGAGCAAACA
rnacentral:rRNA from 1 species